rnacentral:rRNA from 1 species
AGAGUUUGAUCCUGGCUCAGGAUGAACGCUGGCGGCGUGGAUAAGGCAUGCAAGUCGAGAGGGUUUAGGCCCUCGGCAAACGGGUUAGUAAUGCAUAGGAAUCUGCCCUGAAGUCGUGAAUAACUUGGAGAAAUCCAUGACAAUGCACGAUAGUCUCUACGGAGUAAAGAUUUAUCGCUUCAGGAGGAGCCUGUGUCCUAUCAGCUUGUUGGUAGUGUAAUGGACUACCAAGGCUAUGACGGGUAGGGGGUGUGAGAGCACGACCCCCAACAUUGGGACUGAGACACUGCCCAAACUCCUACGGGAGGCUGCAGUCGAGAAUAUUCGUCAAUGCCCGAAAGGGUGAACGAGCGACGCCGCGUGCGGGAUGAAGGCCUUCGGGUCGUAAACCGCUUUUCUUAGGGAAGAAUGUAAUGACGGUACCUAAGGAAUAAGAGGCUACUAACUCUGUGCCAGCAGUAGCGGUAAUACAGAGGCCUCAAGCGUUAUCCGGAUUUAUUGGGCGUAAAGAGCAUGUAGGCGGAUAUAUUAGUCGGAUGUCAAAUCUCAGGGCUCAACCCUGAAACUGCAUUCGAAACGGUAUAUCUAGAGACAGUCAGAGAUCAAUGGAACGUAUGGUGUAGCAGUGAAAUGCGUUGAUAUCAUACGGAACACCAAAGGCGAAGGCAUUUGGUUGGGGCUGUUCUGACGCUGAGAUGCGAAAGCGUGGGUAGCGAAUGGGAUUAGAUACCCCAGUAGUCCACGCCGUAAACGAUGCAUACUAGGUAUUAAGAGAAUCGACCCUCUUAGUGUCGUAGCUAACGCGUUAAGUAUGCCGCCUGGGAAGUACGGUCGCAAGACUAAAACUCAAAGGAAUAGACGGGGAUCCGCACAAGUGGUGGAGCAUGUGGUUUAAUUCGACGGUAAGCGGGAAACCUCACCAUGGUUUGAAACUAUACUGCAUUAUGCAGAAACGCAUAAGCCUUAGAGGGUGUAUAGCAGGUGCUGCACGGUUGUCGUCAGCUUGUGUCGUAAGAUGUUCUGUUAAGUCAGGAAACGAGCGCAACCCCUAUCGUGUGUUAUAUUGUCACACGAGACUGCCCGGAACUUUGUUCAUAAAUUUUUUAUAAUUUGUGGCCAGGGUUCCGGGAGGAAGGUGGGGAUGACGUCAAAUCAGCGUGGCCCUUUGACACCAUGGGCAACACACGUGCUACAAUGGCCAAUACAAAGGGUUGCCAAGUCGCGAGACGGAGCUAAUCCCAAAAAGUUGGUCUCAGUUCGGAUUGGAGUCUGCAACUCGACUCCAUGAAGCCGGAAUCACUAGUAAUCGUGAAUCAGAACGUCACGGUGAAUACGUUCUCGGAUCUUGUACUCACCGCCCGUCACACCAAGAGAGUCGGUAACACCCAAAGACCCUGUUUCAAAGCAGGGGCCACGGUGGGAUCGAUAAUAAGGGUGAAGUCGUAACAAGGUAACCA